GACGAACGCUGGCGGCGUGCUUAACACAUGCAAGUCGAGCGGUAAGGCCCUUUCGGGGGUACACGAGCGGCGAACGGGUGAGUAACACGUGGGUGACCUGCCCUCAGCUCUGGGAUAAGCCUGGGAAACCGGGUCUAAUACUGGAUAUGACUCCAUGACGCAUGUUGUGGGGUGGAAAGCCCUGUGCGGCUGAGGAUGGGCCCGCGGCCUAUCAGC
rnacentral:rRNA from 1 species